rnacentral:rRNA from 1 species
AGUGAACGCUGGCGGCAGGCCUAACACAUGCAAGUCGAACGGCAGCACGGCAGUAGCAAUACUGUGGGUGGCGAGUGGCGGACGGGUGAGGAAUACAUCGGGAUCUACCCUGUUGUGGGGGAUAACGUAGGGAAACUUACGCUAAUACCGCAUAAGAACUGAGGUUGAAAGCGGCGGACCGCAAGGCGUCGCGCGAUUGGAUGAACCGAUGUCCGAUUAGCUAGUUGGCGGGGUAAAGGCCCACCAAGGCGACGAUCGGUAGCUGGUCUGAGAGGACGACCAGCCACACUGGAACUGAGACACGGUCCAGACUCCUACGGGAGGCAGCAGUGGGGGAAUAUUGGACAAUGGGCGCAAGCCUGAUCCAGCCAUGCCGCGUGGGUGAAGAAGGCC